GGAUGAUCACUACCCGGUUCAAAGUGCUUUUCACUGCUAAAUCAGGGCGUGGAUGAGUACCAAAAACUUUUGGUGACACAUGGAGAUCUGCUCAAUCUGAUAGUACUCGACAAUGGCCUUACUUAUUUGAAGCUCUAAAUAAAUUUCAGGAUCCUGCGGAAGCUGACAAGCUGUUGAAAAUUCAACGGGAGUUGGAUGGAACAAAAAUUUUUCUUGUGUAAGUAAUGUGCUGUAAUUUUAUUUUCUUUCUCAUUUACAAUCUAUGUCCUAGUUGAUCUGUAAUGCUUUCUGUUGGUUUCUUACAAGCUAACUGUUAACCUAUCAGUUCUCUGUGAUGCUAGGAAGGGCUGACAUUAGUUACAUUGUGUUAUUUUCUGAUUGCCACAAUUAUUAAUAUUAGAGGAAAUUCAUGUUACAGAACAACUAGAAAUGCUUUUGGUAUUUGAGUUUUAUUUUGUCAGAUAAAAAUUUAUAUUGCAUCAUAUUUUUACAAGG